rnacentral:rRNA from 1 species
AGAGUUUGAUCCUGGCUCAGGAUGAACGCUGGCGGCGUGCCUAAUACAUGCAAGUCGAGCGAACGGACGAGAAGCUUGCUUCUCUGAUGUUAGCGGCGGACGGGUGAGUAACACGUGGAUAACCUACCUAUAAGACUGGGAUAACUUCGGGAAACCGGAGCUAAUACCAGAUAAUAUUUUGAACCGCAUGGUUCAAAAGUGAAAGACGGUCUUGCUGUCACUUAUAGAUGGAUCCGCGCUGCAUUAGCUAGUUGGUAAGGUAACGGCUUACCAAGGCAACGAUGCAUAGCCGACCUGAGAGGGUGAUCGGCCACACUGGAACUGAGACACGGUCCAGACUCCUACGGGAGGCAGCAGUAGGGAAUCUUCCGCAAUGGGCGAAAGCCUGACGGAGCAACGCCGCGUGAGUGAUGAAAGUCUUCGGAUCGUAAAACUCUGUUAUUAGGGAAGAACAUAUGUGUAAGUAACUGUGCACAUCUUGACGGUACCUAAUCAGAAAGCCACGGCUAACUACGUGCCAGCAGCCGCGGUAAUACGUAGGUGGCAAGCGUUAUCCGGAAUUAUUGGGCGUAAAGCGCGCGUAGGCGGUUUUUUAAGUCUGAUGUGAAAGCCCACGGCUCAACCGUGGAGGGUCAUUGGAAACUGGAAAACUUGAGUGCAGAAGAGGAAAGUGGAACUCCAUGUGUAGCGGUGAAAUGCGCAGAGAUAUGGAGGAACACCAGUGGCGAAGGCGACUUUCUGGUCUGUAACUGACGCUGAUGUGCGAAAGCGUGGGGAUCAAACAGGAUUAGAUACCCUGGUAGUCC